UUGGGUGCUAAGCACUUUCAAUACAGCUAAGAUAAUGAAGGAACUGGUUUUUUUUUUUUUCAUCUUAAAAGUAAUCAGUUGAAAUAUCAGUAGUGAUAUGAGACUACUGUUUGUCAUAUUGAACAAGUAAGGUGUAGAUCCAUACCCAAAUAAGCUUACAUGGCUUUUGAGACAAAUGAAGUAUCUAUAAACAUGGCCCAUGACUUAAAUGUCAAUGUCUUUUCCUGAUAAUAUGUAAUAUUCAUAUGUAGCUUUUCAAUCAUAAUUUAUAGCUACAGUGGAAAACACAACUCAUUCCAGUAAAUACUGGUUUAUUUAUUUUUAUUUAUCUAUUUACUACCUGUUGGAACUUGAUCAUCUUAGCUUUGUGGCAGCUUGUGGCCUUGCCGUUGUUGGGUGGUCUGAAGCCAUGGAAAGAAUGUCUCAUUUAGGCGUCAAGAGUUUGGGGUUCUAGUCUCAGUUCUCCCAACUAUGAUUUAGCAACAUGACCUUUCCUCUGUCACCUUUCCUGGGCACAUGUUUCCUCAUGUGGAAAGUGAGGGGGUGAGAUGAAGAUGAUCUCUCAGCCUGCUUGCUCUCAGAAUGUUUGUGGUUUUGUGAUUUUUUUUGGUCUUCAUUCUCGUGGUCAGGGUAGUAGUUGGAAUUUCUCUGUGUAGCCAUUGGGAGCUAUAAUACAGGGUUUUGAAAGAGUUGGGGGAUACUUUGAACCACAGGUGAAACGUGGAAUGGGCAAAUAAUUUUCACCUUCUUUUUAAAAAAAAAAAGGUUUAUUUAUUUAUUUUUAAAUUAGGUAUAUUCUUCAUUUACAUUUCAAAUGCUAUCCUGAAAUUCCCCUAUAACCUCCCAUCACCCUGCUCCCCUACCCACCCACUCCCACUUCUUGGCCCUGGCAUUCCCCUGUACUGAGGCAUAUAAAGUUUGCAAGACCAAGGGGCCUCUCUUCCCAAUGAUGGCCGACUAGGCCAUCUUCUGCUACAUAUGCAGCUAGAGGCAUGAGCUCUGGGGGUACUGGUUAGUUCAUAUUGUUGUUCCACCUAUAGGGUUGCAGACCCCUUUAGCUCCUUGGGUACUUUCUCUAGCUCCUCCACUGGGCGCCCUGUGUUCCAUCCAAUAGCUCACUAUGAACAUCUACUUCUGUGUUUUAAUUUUCACCUUCUUACAGGGAUCUGCAGAGCCCCAGAGGGCAGAUAUAGUCUACUUCCUUAUUGAUGUGCAUGUGUGCAUGGACUCCUACUGUCUCUCUGUCUCUUUUUUGUCUGUCUCUCCCUGUGUCUCUGUCUCUCUGUGUGUGUGUGUGUAUGUGUGUGGGGGGGGGGCGGGGGUUGAUAUCUGAUGUCUUCCUCCAUUGCUUUUUAUUUAUUUAUGUUUAAUCAGUAUCAGGGAUUGAACCUGGGGCCUCAGAUACGCUAGGCAAAUGCUCUGUAACUAAGCUAUCUUCAGUCCUUACCUUAUGUUUUUGGGAUAAAGUUUUCACUGAACCUAGAGCUCCAUUCAUGGAUUCAGCUAGGCAGGCUGGCCAGUAGGCACCAGAAAUCUGCCUGCCUCUACCUUCCUCUCCCUACCCCCAGUACUGAGAUCAUAGAGCCGCCGUUCUAGCUGUCACUUGUGUUCUAGGGAUCUGAACUCAGGGCCACAUGCUUGCAAGGCACCGUUCUAAUACAGAAGAAAUGGAGAAGAAAGGCAAAACAUAAAGAAAUAAUGAACAACUUCGUAAAGGUUUCAUCUGAGGUCAUCUGUUGUGCGCCUUUCGGGGGUUGAAGUCACUGCAGUGAUGAAAUACUCAAGCAAGAGUUUUCGAGGGAUAGAAAAUUUGGAGCUUCAGACCAUUUUCUGUGUCCCUUGAAUAUUCAUAAUUAAUAAUGCUUGGUAAUUGUGAAAAAGGGAAAUCCAGAGCUGAUAAGACUGGCCUGGUAACCAGGGGAGUUAGGGUUAACCGAGCUAUUUGGAGUGAUUUCGUUUGUAGACCUUGGAUUUAGAAGGAAAAGAUGAAUCACAAAUGAAGAUCAAGAGGAAGGAAAGAACACUGGACAGAUUUGCAAGAGCAGGUAGGAGGCUCCAGAGUGUUCCAAAGGACAGUGUGGUAGGAUGCGUCAAACCAGUACAGAGGGAGCCGGCCAUCGGCUGGGACUGGAGAGGAGCCGGAUGAUUGUUUGGUAAUUUCUUCCUGAUCUUCACGAGUGACGUGUGAUGGGUGAGUUGCUCUCUCGUGGUGAUGUGACAGAGCUGAACAUUUAUGGGGGUGGUCAUGCUAAAGAACUCACAUUGUAAAUAGCCACUCCUCUGCACUGUUUCCGAUCAUUUAGAAAGAAUUGCAUCUCGAAGCUGUAUUUUUGCUUUUUUUGCUGGCUAUCUUUAUGUAUGGGAACAGUCAUCUCUAGAGAUUCAUUUUCAUU
rnacentral:lncRNA from 1 species